GAUGAACGCUGGCGGGUGUGCCUAAUACAUGCAAGUCGAGCGCACUGGCCCAACUGAUAUGACGUGCUUGCACUGAAUUGACGCUGGAUUACCAGUGAGCGGCGGACGGGUGAGUAACACGUGGGCAACCUGCCCUGAAGUGGGGGAUAACAUCUGGAAACAGGUGCUAAUACCGCAUAACAACGAAAACCACAUGGUUUUCGUUUCAAAGAUGGUUUCGGCUAUCACUUCAGGAUGGGCCCGCGGUGCAUUAGCUAGUUGGUAAGGUAACGGCUUACCAAGGCAAUGAUGCAUAGCCGAGUUGAGAGACUGAUCGGCCACAAUGGAACUGAGACACGGUCCAUACUCCUACGGGAGGCAGCAGUAGGGAAUCUUCCACAAUGGGCGCAAGCCUGAUGGAGCAACACCGCGUGAGUGAAGAAGGGUUUCGGCUCGUAAAGCUCUGUUGUUGGAGAAGAACGUGCGUGAGAGUAACUGCUCACGCAGUGACGGUAUCCAACCAGAAAGUCACGGCUAACUACGUGCCAGCAGCCGCGGUAAUACGUAGGUGGCAAGCGUUAUCCGGAUUUAUUGGGCGUAAAGCGAGCGCAGGCGGUUGCUUAGGUCUGAUGUGAAAGCCUUCGGCUUAACCGAAGAAGGGCAUCGGAAACCGGGCGACUUGAGUGCAGAAGAGGACAGUGGAACUCCAUGUGUAGCGGUGGAAUGCGUAGAUAUAUGGAAGAACACCAGUGGCGAAGGCGGCUGUCUGGUCUGCAACUGACGCUGAGGCUCGAAAGCAUGGGUAGCGAACAGG
rnacentral:rRNA from 1 species